rnacentral:rRNA from 1 species
AUUGAACGCUGGCGGCAGGCCUAACACAUGCAAGUUGAACGAAUGGCGGACGGGUGAGUAAUGUCUGGGAAACUGCCUGAUGGAGGGGGAUACCUACUGGAAACGGUAGCUAAUACCGCAUACCAUCGGAUGUGCCCCGAUGGGAUUAGCUAGUAGGUGGGGUAAAGGCUCACCUAGGCGACGAUCCCUAGCUGGUCUGAGAGGAUGACCAGCAACACUGGAACAGAGACACAGUCCAGACUCAGACGGGAGGCAGCGGAGGGGAAUAUUGCACAAUGGGCGAAAGCCUGAUGCAGCCAUGCCGCUUGUAUGAAGAAGGCCUUCGGGUUGUAAAGUACUUUCAGCGGGGAGGCGUUACCCGCAGGAGAAGCACCGGCUAACUCCGUGCCAGCCGCCGCGGUAAUAC